ensembl:lncRNA
GCGAGUACUACAUUUCAGAUCCUCUCCCAUUUCCUGAUGCUUGCCAAGAAAGCCCAGGCUAAUGUUCUGAAAAAAAAAAAAAAAAAAAAAAAAAAGUCACUACAUACUGCAAACUUGUGCCAUCUAAAUACAACCCUGAUAGGUUCGUAAAGACUUUAUACUAAAGUCUUGCAUUCCAUACAUGAAAACUAAUAACCUAAAUAUUUCCCUAGCCAUUCUUUCUACAGAAACAUGGAGUUAUAAGAAACUUAAGAGGACUGUUUUUUAAGCCAGAAAACUCUCUCAGUUUCUGAGAGUCUCAGUAUUCCAGAGCCAAUUCUAUAUAUUGUUUAUUGCCUAGAUUGAUUUAAUGUAUGGUAACUGAUGUAAAUUUGUGUUGGCAUACAUGGCUCACAACCCGUGAAAACAGAGCUUCUCUUGUCAGUAUGCAUAAGGAGCACAUCUUUACAGAAGUAAUUUAUGCCAAAAUCCCUGCAUUUCAGAAUUUUUCUUAAAUAUACUGAAAGCAUAGAAAAAAUCUUGUAAUAGGUUCCAAGUUUUUAGCUAAUAUAAUAAAUGUGUGCAAAUCAACAACUAUUUUAAUUAAAUAUCAUUUAGAUAAUUUCUGUCACAUUUUCAUUAGUAUAUCCAUGACGUUAGCCUGCAAUAGCCUUCAACACAGUAAUAGCCUUAUUCUUUUAAAUAAUAAAUAAUUCACCUACCUUUGUCUCAUAUUUCUCUGAAGUCCUAAGCUUUACUUCCACCUCUGUACACGUGUGCUCAUCUGAGCUGCAUUUAAUUUUACUGAAGCAAGAAACAUUUAGAAAUAUUCAAGUUCUUCUGUGAUAUAUUUGUUCAGUGUAUCAAGAUAUUGACAUCUUGGUUCAGAGGUAGAAGAGAAGCUUGAUGAAACAGUCUUUUAUUCUAUACUCAUAGCUGUUUUUAUUUUUUUCUUUCUUUCUUUCUUUCUUCUCCCUUUGGUCUAAUUGUUUAUGACGUAUUUUUUCAAGGGGACAAAUUCCAGUCUUGACAAGGACAACUGCUGGAAUUCUGGAGUUGCAUCUACUACUGCUAGUCUCAGCUUGUGGCAUUUUAUAAUGUACUUCGUGGCAACUGAUGACAGCAUAUUUCCUUCUGAUGUGACUUGGAGAGAAUAAAACACGGAAUCAUACUGUGGCAGAGAGAGAAACAGGAAAUAGUCAAAGCUUCUCAUGCUGUCGUGCCAGCAAGGCGCUGGGACAGCAUAAGAAGCUGGGAGGGGACAGGGCCAGCACAGCUGACCUGAAGUGGCCGAAGAGAUAUUCCGUACCAUAAGAUGUCAUAUGGAAAAACUAUAAAACUUAAAGUAGUUGGCUGGGGGAGAACCACUGCCUUGACACUGGGGACCGGCUUAGCAUUGACUGACAGGUGGGGCUGUUUCACCAAAAAAAAAACCAAACAAACAAACAAACAAAAAAACUUUCUACUCAAAGUAUUUGAAACACUGCAUCCAGAAGUACUGCCAUCGGGAGUAGUGCAUCCAGGACUUGGGCGCACAGCACAACGAAGACUUGGAACAGUUGGAGUGGGUCCAGAGGAGGGCUGUGAGGACGAUUACAGUGCUGAAGCAUUUCCCUUAUAAAGAAAGGGUGACUUGUUUAGCCUGGAAGAAUAGAAAACUUGGGGAGAACUCCCAGCUUUCAAGUACUUGAGUGGAGCUUAUAAGCAGGAGGGAGACCAGUUUUUUACAAGUUCUGAUAGUAAGAUAUCAAAAUAUAUAUCAGAAUAUCAAAAGAUAUGAUAAGACAAGGGGGAAUGUUUUUAAACUAAAACAGGAGAGAUUUACAUCAGAUAUUAGGGAGAAAUUUUUCAGUGAGAGGAGGUUGAGGCACUGGAACAGAUGGUCAAGAGAAGCUGCGGAUGCUCCAUUCCUGGAGGCAUUCAAGGUCAAGUUGGAUGGGGCCCUGGGCAGCCUGAGCUGGUGGGUGGCAACCCUGUCCACAGCAGGAGGGUUGGAACUGGAUGAGCUUUAAGAUCCCUUCCAACCAAAGCCAUUCUGUGAUCCUAUGAUUCUUCUCAUCUCAUUGGAUUCCAGAACUAAGAGAGAGCAUCAAAAAAGAAGACAAAGGGAUUUCUCAGAUAGUCAGAAAUGUUGCAAAACAGCAUAUCUAAAUGAAAUCACCUAGUCAGAAUAUAUAUUGACAAGAUAGAAGUACAGAUUUUACUUUCCCAGCACGUUUUCUAAAUGAAAAAAUUCAAGUCAGUAGAUAACCAAAAAAUAGAUGCUGUUUUCUGCAACAAACAAACAAACAAACAAAUAAAUAAAUAAAUAAAGCUUGACUGUUAUGAAAGG